rnacentral:rRNA from 1 species
GGAGGGCGCAAGCGUUACUCGGAAUCACUGGGCGUAAAGAGCGUGUAGGCGGGUAAUUAAGUCAGGAGUGAAAUCCUAUGGCUCAACCAUAGAACUGCUCUUGAAACUGAUUACCUAGAAUAUGGGAGAGGUAGAUGGAAUUUCUGGUGUAGGGGUAAAAUCCGUAGAGAUCAGAAGGAAUACCGAUUGCGAAGGCGAUCUACUGGAACAUUAUUGACGCUGAGACGCGAAGGCGUGGGGAGCAAACAGGAUUAGAUACCCUGGUAGUCCACGCCCUAAACGAUGUACACUAGUUGUUGUGAGGCUAGACCUUGCAGUAAUGCAGUAAACACAUUAAGUGUACCGCCUGGGGAGUACGGUCGCAAGAUUAAAACUCAAAGGAAUAGACGGGGACCCGCACAAGCGGUGGAGCAUGUGGUUUAAUUCGACGAUACGCGAAGAACCUUACCUGGACUUGACAUAGUAAGAACUUUCUAGAGAUAGAUUGGUGUCUGCUUGCAGAAACUUAUAUACAGGUGCUGCACGGCUGUCGUCAGCUCGUGUCGUGAGAUGUUGGGUUAAGUCCCGCAACGAGCGCAACCCUCGUCGUUAGUUGCUAACAGUUCGGCUGAGAACUCUAACGAGACUGCCUACGCAAGUAGGAGGAAGGUGAGGACGACGUCAAGUCAUCAUGGCCCUUACGUCCAGGGCUACACACGUGCUACAAUGGGGUAUACAAAGAGCCGCGAUACCGUGAGGUGGAGCAAAUCUCAAAAAUAUCUCCCAGUUCGGAUUGUAGUCUGCAACUCGACUACAUGAAGUUGGAAUCGCUAGUAAUCGUAGAUCAGCAAUGCUACGGUGAAUACGUUCCCGGGUCUUGUACUCACCGCCCGUCACACCAUGGGAGUUGAACUCAUUCGAAGCGGGGAUGCUAAGGUAGCUACCCUCCACAGUGGAUUCAGUGACUGGGGUGAAGUCGU